rnacentral:pre_miRNA from 1 species
ACGACAUUCGGACCGUCGGUCUACCGAGCAAUGUCACCCGCUCGGUGGAAGAUCUUCCCUUUGUCGU